rnacentral:tRNA from 1 species
AGCGUGAUAGAGCAGUGGUAGCUCGCAAGAAUCAUAGUCUUGAGGUCGCUGGUUCGAAUCCAGCUCUCGCCAC